GUUGCAAUUAUCCGUCAUCCUCGUCAUGGUGAAUAUGCAUUUGGUUUCAUCACAUCAUCUGUCAUCCUUCAGAGAGAAGAUGGAGAUGAAGAGUUAUGCAGUGUUUAUGUCCCAACAAACCAUCUAUACAUUGGUGACAUAUUUCUGGUCAAUUCUGAUGAGAUCAUAAGACCAAACUUGUCUAUUCGGGAAGGCAUAGAGAUCAUUGUUUCAGUUGGUAUGACAAUGCCACAGCUGAUAUCUUCUGUAGAAAGGAUUCCUCAUCAGAGCAAUAGGAUCCCUCUAAGCAGAAUCGUAUGAAGGCACUGAAGCUUUUUAAUUCAUGACAUGAAUGGCUGACAAUCUUAAAGGUGACAAAGAAAGUCACCUUUUGUUUUUCCUCGGCCAGGCUUACAUAUGUAGAGAUUUAGGUUCUCAGAGUCUACAGGUGAAACUAUAUAAAGUCAGUAUGACUAUACACGUGUCUUCCAUCUUUUAAACUUGCUAAAGUAAAGAAAGUGCUGGGUACUCCAGUGUGAAUCUGGAUAAAGGCAGUCAUAUUCAUAGAAUGUGCCAAAUAUCCACUUUUGUUCUGUACAAAGGUUGACAAGAAAAGCCAAACACAUCUUUUACUUUCUAUAAAGAUUCACUCUCUCUAUAUCUAUUUUUUCCUUCUUGCUUGCAUUAAAACGCGCAUAUAAGUCAUUUCUUUCUCCGCUGUGCUGUUGGGGGUAGUUUCUCAGAUGGUCCACAAGGAAGUUUCUGCCCAGUCUCCCUUUCAAUUCUGCUCUUCAGCUCUCUUAGUAUCCGAAUUUGGCCAAGCUUCUCAGGUGACAAUUUCUCCCAGUAGAUACCUUGAGGCUUGAGGAUGGUUGUGUUGGUGAAUAUGACUCGAGUGGGAGUGCAUAUGAUGUCAACAGGAACAUCAUGGAUCAACAAUUUCUCGACCGGAAUAUCAUCUACCAAUUGGCAAUCAUGCACUGCAAGGGCAAUGUAAGAGCGAGAGGGUGAAGCGCCAAAAUAGUUGAAAUAUGAUAUAUAGAAUAUAUAAUAAUUAAAAUCAAAUAAAGCUGUUGAUGGAUUACAUACAACCAAAUAACCAACUACAUUGUACCCGUGCACUACAUAUAAGGAAUUACCAUUCAAUUUCUUCUCUACCGUCAUACAAAAUGAUCCUAUGAUUAUAAUUUGAAAGAAAAUUACUGACCUCAAGACACAAUGUUAACUUAAUAUCUGUUGCUCAAUAUGACAAAUUACAUGAAAUCUAGCCAUUGUGUUGCUUAAUGAAGAGAUAGCAUUGCAGCUUUUACUAUCCUCCAGGCUCCACAGCACGAAGUUAUUUUUGAGAAUUUUGGUUGACAAAUUUCUUCUUCUUUUUUUUUUUCUCUGUAAAUUUAAACUAAGAAAAAGAAAUGAAGCAUCUGCUUGAGGUAUUGAGAGAAGAGGGAAGGAUGGGAAGCAGGAUCCAGAACAACUGUUGAACCUACCAGAAGUGACAACUGGUGUCGAAUUAUCAAUGGCACCCAUAUACCGCAGCAUCCCAUAUUCAAGUUCUGCAAAUCCCUGCACCCCAAAUCUCUUUCAACGUCACAGAAUCUUCUAUAGUAAAACCUUUAACCACUACUCUGAAAGUGGAGAUGAUUUUUGAAACUGCAUUACGUUCAUAAUGCUGAAAUCAUUGUAUCUUGUAAUGCUGAGCCUUAUUAACUAAGACGUUGACAAAAUGUCACAAACUCAUCCAUGGAUUAGAGACAGAAACCAUAGUCCAAGACAGGAUAAUAAAAGGAUCAAGAUAUACUGUAGAAUAGAAGAUGAUAUCACCUCUCCUUUGCCAAGACGAGCACCUGUGUUUGGAUCAACAGCAACUGAACCAAUGACAAUUACAUCCACUUUGAUCUUUUCAUCCAAUCCAAUUGGCCUUCCAUACUUGGCAACCCCCACAGAGGUGCAUGCCUCAUUAAUGGCAUUAGGGGGCAACAUAUUGGAUUCAAGAACAGAGAAAAACCCUGUCCUCAAACGGGGUUGAGGAGUCAACAGCUUCUUUCCACCUGUGCAUGCAUGAUCAUCAGCUUCUCAAUCAAAAACCAACAAAAAGAAAACAAUCAACCUUGAUUUACCCGGUUGGAAACUAAUGAAAAUAAAUAAACAAACAAGAAGAACAGAAGAAAAAACUAACCAGAGAGAGUGAGAAACCUGACUUGCUUUUGAGGAGAAUCAGGGUUUACCUUCACACAAUCCGCAUUCAGGAACACCUCUAACCCAGCCAACUGCCAUAACCCGACCCAUUAACUAGUCAAAUUCACUAAAUCGAAGCAAAUCAGAAAAUUGAUACGUUAAUCAUUUAAGUUACAUUCUUAGCAGCAGCUGAGGCGCCAACAAAAUUGGGGAUACGAUGAUGAACAGGUCGCGGGUUCUGGGCAAAGUUACGUGCCUCCAUAAAAUCCCAAAUUCUCUUGCGGAUGACCCAUUUCCAAGCUUUGGGAUCAUCCUCUGUAUCCGCCUCCAUCUCUCUCUUAGAAGUCUGGGCCAUGGCUUCUCUUGCCUUGGAAUCGAGUCGUAAUCUCUGGGCCUCGAAAGCGUACUCGUCGAGAACGGCGUCGUAUUGGGGACGUUGUGUACUGGUAAUUUCCAGCUUAGGAUUGGAACAGAACAAUCGCUUAACAGAAAUCCUUGUUGAAGAAGAAGAAGAUAGAACAUGAAGCUUUUGAAAAUUGUUAACAGAAAAGGGAGCAGCUGAAGCCGAUAUUCGGGUCAGUGUUGAAUCCAUCUGUGAUCUAUCUACUUUCACUGUCCACUCAAAUUAUAUUAUAUUUUAGAUUAAAAAAAAAUAGUAUUAUCAAUAAAUGGUACUAAAUUGAUGACAAUAUUGUGAAAUUUUAAAUUUAAAUUUUAAUAACUAAAUAAAAAAACAUUGUUAAAUAAAAUUAAAUAUAACCAUUUGAUUUCCUAAUAAUCUUUACGCAACUGAGUUGGAACACUUGGGCCACCUUUUCUCUAGAGUUCAUCCGGAGUAAAAUGAAGAAAUUGUCAAGUUGUAAUCAUUUCCUG
rnacentral:misc_RNA from 1 species